CGGGUGAGUAACACGUGGAUAACCUACCUAUAAGACUGGGAUAACUUCGGGAAACCGGAGCUAAUACCGGAUAAUAUAUUGAACCGCAUGGUUCAAUAGUGAAAGACGGUUUUGCUGUCACUUAUAGAUGGAUCCGCGCCGCAUUAGCUAGUUGGUAAGGUAACGGCUUACCAAGGCAGCGAUGCGUAGCCGACCUGAGAGGGUGAUCGGCCACACUGGAACUGAGACACGGUCCAGACUCCUACGGGAGGCAGCAGCC
rnacentral:rRNA from 1 species